GACGGAGGAUGCAAGCGUUAUCCGGAAUGAUUGGGCGUAAAGCGUCCGCAGGUGGCAGUUCAAGUCUGCUGUCAAAGACCGGGGCUUAACUUCGGAAAGGCAGUGGAAACUGAACAGCUAGAGUAUGGUAGGGGCAGAGGGAAUUCCUGGUGUAGCGGUGAAAUGCGUAGAGAUCAGGAAGAACAUCGGUGGCGAAGGCGCUCUGCUGGACCAAAACUGACACUCAGGGACGAAAGCUAGGGGAGCGAAUGGG
rnacentral:rRNA from 1 species